UACGAAGGGGGCUAGCGUUGCUCGGAAUUACUGGGCGUAAAGCGCGCGUAGGCGGCCGCCUAAGUCAGACGUGAAAUCCCUCGGCUCGAACCGGGGAACUGCGUCUGAUACUGGGUGGCUUGAAUUCGGGAGAGGGAUGCGGAAUUCCAGGUGUAGCGGUGAAAUGCGCAGAUAUCAGGAGGAACACCGAUUGCGAAGGCAGCUCGCUGGGACGUUACUGACG
rnacentral:rRNA from 1 species